rnacentral:lncRNA from 1 species
AUAUGUUAGAAAAUUACUGAUGAGCUAUUUGUUAGAUUUGUACCCUAGAAGCCAAUUAUUGGCUGACAUAUUUUAUAAUUCUAGAGUCUAAACUUGUACUUGUAAUCUUUUUAUUAUCAAUAAAGGAUUUUUUCAUAUCAAUCAUGUUUGUGUCUAUGAUUUGUCCUAAAAAUUAAUAAAGAUGAUUUUUGUAUAUUCUUAAAAAGUUAAGAAGACAUACAUG